rnacentral:rRNA from 1 species
CCUACGGGAGGCAGCAGUGGGGAAUAUUGCACAAUGGGGGAAACCCUGAUGCAGCGACGCCGCGUGUGUGAAGAAGUAUUUCGGUAUGUAAAGCUCUAUCAGCAGGGAAGAAAAUGACGGUACCUGAUUAAGAAGCCCCGGCUAACUACGUGCCAGCAGCCGCGGUAAUACGUAGGGGGCAAGCGUUAUCCGGAUUUACUGGGUGUAAAGGGGGCGUAGACGGCAGCACAAGUCUGGAGUGAAAUGCCGGGGCUUAACCCCGGAACUGCUUUGGAAACUGUGCAGCUAGAGUGCAGGAGAGGUAAGUGGAAUUCCUAGUGUAGCGGUGAAAUGCGUAGAUAGUAGGAGGAACACCAGUGGCGAAGGCGGCUUACUGGACUGUAACUGACGUUGAGGCUCGAAAGCGUGGGGAGCAAACAGGAUUAGAUACCCGGGUAGUC